ACCAUUUCAGCAAACAUAAACAAUGUUGGGUUUUUUUUUAUAUAUAUAUAUAUACAAGUUAAAUAAUGUUAAAUUCUGGAACCAUCAGUUGAAAAGUAAACUUUGGAAAUAGCCAUGUCUGUCCUUUUGAAAUAUGGAUUCAGAAAGUAGGCCUUUCUAAAUGAUUCAUGCUUUCUUUGUGGAUUGGAGACUCUGGCUUCAGGAUUCAUUCAAAAACCUGAAGACUUAAUGAAAGCAAGAAAUCUAAACUAAAAUUUUACCCUCAGAUUAGAGAAAUCCACAAAAACUCCACAGUCACUGAAAUAUCAUAAAGGGCUACAGAGAAGGAGAGGCAAGAAGAGGAGAUGCGACACUUUCUACAGCUUCCAGUUUGCAAGUCUCACGAGAAUGAACAAGUUUGAGAUGAAACAACGCGGAAGAUGUGAAGCGAGUCCAGCCGGCGUGCUCGUGCCUAAGAAUAUUCUCCAGAAUCUCUGCUUUAAAUUCGGGUCAGCCACACUGUCUUUAAUCUACAAAUCAUCAGAAUCAAGUUAAACCUGACUAAGAGCCUGACUUUGUUUUUGGGAUUUGGUGUCCAUUCUCUUCCCCUCCAUCUUAAUGCUGAAAAUCUCGUUUAGAGGAAUUCUUCUUCUUCUUAUUUUUAAAACAAGCAAAUGUCUCCAAAACAGUGGAGCUGAGAGGAAAGCUAACACUCCAGCCGUAAAGGACUGGAGGUCGCUGAGAGGAAGUGUCGUCUGUGAUCCCCUUCAGCUGGGCCUUCCCUUCAUUUAGCUUCACUAUUCAUUACUGACCGCUGUAAGAGGACAUGGCUCAGGGCUGAUGUCAGGAUUAGAUCUGCUGAUGACCGCUCCCUCCGCCCCCUCCACCCCCUCCACCACCUCUCCUAGCCGGGGACUCGCAUCCACCGGCUGUUGUUAUUUUCUUCCUGCUGAAGUGAUUGCAGCUUAAAAAUUACCAGCAUGCAUAAAGUAACCAUGUGUAGUACGGAGAGAGAGAUACUAAAUAAAAACACAAAAUAACAAAA